AUCCUAUGGUGAGUACAGACGGUGACGUACUCCUGCAGUCGCUCCCAGGCUUCUGGUAUCGACUCGUCCUUCGUCUGCUAGAAACUUGAGAUCCUCCCACAAAGGAC
rnacentral:snoRNA from 1 species